UACGGUAGACUUUGCCUGUCCUUAUUGAAGGUGCUCUAAAGCGGGGCCGAGCUGCCUUGCGGACCCCAGGCCACCUAGCACAGGGCAGGGGACGUCGAGUGACCCAGUUUACUGGGGUAACAGUCGCUAGAGGUGAGAAUAACGCGUGUUAGGGGCAGAGCUAGGGAGGAGGGAGUGUUCACUUUUGGACAUGCUGGUGAUAUGAUGACAUUCGGAGGUGGCAUCAGGUAGGUACCUGAGCAUAGGCUCCUGAAAGUCCAGGAGAGCUGGGAUUGUGGCCCGUGAACAGCAGGUCUGGGCAAGAAGGUCCAGUGUGGGGCAGGUGUGUUUAGACAGGGACAGGUGAAGGAUGGGUGGUGCAAGGGGAGCUAGAAUCCAGAGGGAUGGAGGAGUGGAGCUUCAGAUGUCAUAGAAGCAACGGGAAGCAGUUCCAGGAUGGAGGACCCUCAGUGACUCAGGAUAGCUGGGGUGUGUGUGUGUGUGGGGGGGGAUAGAUGCUAGCUGUGUGUGUGUGUGUGUGUGUGUGUGUGUGUGUGUGUGUGUGUGUAUGUGGACAGAUGCUAGCUGGGAGGAGGUGGGGAUACAUGCUAGCUGGGGUGUGUGUGGGGGGAUAGAUGCUAGCUGGAGGAGGGGGGGAUAGAUGCUAGCUGGGAGGAAGGGGGAUAGAUGCUAGCUGGGAGGAGGGGGCGAGAGAUGCUAGCUGGGAGGAGGGGGCGAGAGAUGCUAGCUGGGAGGAGGGGGCAAGAGAUGCUAGGUGAGAGGAGGGGAGGUAGAUGCUAGCUGGGGUGUGUGUGUGUCAGGAGAUAGAUGCUAGCUGGGGGGGAUAGAUGCUAGGUGGGAGGAGGGGGAGUAGAUGCUAGGUGGGAGGAGGGGGGAUAGAUGCUAGCUGGGGUGUGUGUGUCAGGAGAUAGAUGCUAGCUGGGGGGGAUAGAUGCUAGGUGGGAGGAGGAGGGAUAGAUGCUAGUUGGGAGGGGGGAUAGAUGCUAGGUGGGAGGAGGGGGGGUAGAUGCUAGUUGGGGUGUGUGUGAAUGGGGAGAUAGAUGCUAGCUGGGAGGAGGGGGGAUACAUGCUAGGUGGGAGAGUGGGGAUAGAUGCUAGCUGGAAGGAGUGAUGAAGACAGCAGGACCAAUAUAAUUGGGGGUAAGAAGUAGGAAAGUGAGCCCUGCAGGGGCUGGGAAAUCUCAGGGAGCUGGAGGGAUGACAAACUGGGAUCAAGGGGGUUGCUUAAAGAUGGGGAGGUAUCCCUUGCACAGUUGGAAGAGGGAGAUGCUGCAGGAGGGGAGCUGGGGGACCCAUGCAGCCAGGGGCUGGAAAGGGUGGGAGCUCAGGGCAGCCCCCCAACUGGCAGCAGCCCGUUUUCGUGCCCAGGCAGAGGAGGCGGACCACACUCCGGUCUCAAAGGAGAUUCUCCCCGAAGUCAGAGGGGACAGGAAAAGGCUCGUGUCAGCAUGGGCAGGCGGCAUUAGGUCCACACUGGAGUGGUGGCCUUCUACGGGUACAGGCUGGGAGACGACAGGGAAGCAGGUCCAUCCAAGUUGUGUCUUGACAGUGGGCCACAGACAAGGUGGCACACAGUCAGAUAUACACAUCGCUAGGCUGCCACUGUCCUUAUCACAUUUAAUCCUCACAACACCCCUGUGAGGUAGGUAUUGCUGCCCCAGCUUACACAUGAGGAAGCCGAGGCUCACACAUGCCCAGGGGCACACAGUUGACAGGAAAGGUCUGCGAUCCCAAUGGCGGGGUCUCUGCAUUCCAACCAUGCCCCGCCCAGGGCGGUCAGAAUUCUCUUACAGUAGCAAGAAGACAGCUCCCACGGACAUGGGGACACACACACACACACACACACACACACACACACACAGCACCCAGAAAAGCCACCACUGAGUCGGCACCUCUGUGCGCCAUAGUUCUAGUUCAAGAGCAUUUGGGGGACACUCCUGACCCAGUGGUUCGUUCUGACAUUUUGAGAAAAAACAAAAGCUAUUGCUGCAGGGCACGUGCCUCAGUGGUCCACCCAGCUGAGGGGAGGUCAGGGUCAGGCUCAAGCAGAUCCCUCUGGUGGUGUGGCUGCUGCACGCAGGAGGUGGAGGCUUGGGGGAGCCUCAGGUACCCACAGCAGAUCCACCCUCCCCAACAGGUGGGGGACAGGUCCUCUAAAUCUCGCUCAUCUGCAUCCUGGUCACCUCAGAUGUUACGAAUGACAUUUAGAUUUUUUCUGUCCAACUUCGCUGGGAAAAUUCUUUUCGCCUCAAGAGUGUCAGGAUAGCAUGAGAGAUCUGAAUCAGAUGUUUCUUUUUUUAGUUGAACCUAAAUAAAGUUAGGAAUCUCUCUCUCUCUAACUUAAUAUCUUCUAUCUUUUUUUUUAAUUUCCAUCUUAGAAAAAUGAAGGAUGGAAAUAAAGAUGGAGAAGAAAUAGCCUAGAAAUUCAGUGCAAAGAGAGGUGUUCAUAUGGACACCACCUGCUGGGGACACAGAUCAAUCACUCUGGGGGAAUAGAAGGAUCUCUAAAAGGAGCUGAAAGUAUGGCAGGCAGGGAGCUUAGGGCAAGCCCUCAAGGCCCAGCCUGACAAGACUCUGGGCCUGCCCACCUGGUGGUCACACGCAGGCCUCGACAGUGCAGGGGCCAGGCUCCCUCAGCAGGGGACCUGCCACCCAGGGAGGAAGGGAACCAAGGUGAUACGAGGACAGUGGUGCGUGCGCUCAGAGAGGUCGGCUCCUCCGGUCACCCGAACCCCAUAGAUGCGGGGGGUGAGCUGUGCCAGGCCACCUGCUCACACAUGUUCUCAAUGGUGAAAGCUGUCAGUUCCCGGGAUGGGGCUCAGUGGGGCUGGGGACAUCAGACAUGGGCUCAAGUUCCCCAGAGAGAGGACAGACACAAGAGGGGACAGAGAAAUGGGCUUCACAGGGCGUGGCAUGAUUGCUUUGAGGCUAAACUUUCCAAAGGGAAGCAUCGGAGUUUCUGUUCUGACUUAAGGCGUUCUGACGGUUCACGUUGGGCUGCCCCGGAGAAGGAAACUUCGCAUCCCGCGUUCUCUCAGUUCCCUGUGUGAGAGCCACCAGGGUGCACACGGUGUCCGCCUCCGGAGCCCCCAGGCUCCCUAGUGAAGUGGCAGGCCCCCCACCCCCACCCCCAAGCAAACGUUGCCCGCAGCAAGUGCGGGCACUCACAGCCUCAGCAAGCAGGGCUCAGGCCCCUCUCCUCGUCCUCAUCCUCCUCUUCCUCCUCCUCGCUGUGGGCAGAUAGGUUUUUCCUCUUUACCUGUCGCUGGGGGGUGCUGCUCUCCAGGGGGCUUGGAGAGUGACACUGUAAACAUGGCUUCUUGGCAUGCUGGCGGCAAGGCUGUGUGCCUGAGUCACUGCCCGGGGAAGGCACUGAGGUAGACCGGGGGGAGGCCCCCGAGACCCCGUCCACCGAGUCUGUGGGACUCGCGCUGCAGAUGGAGGAGUACCCCGAGGUCACACUGUCCUUGCCUGGCUCCCUCCUGCCGUGGAGCAGAGGCUGGGGCCCCGGGCUCGGAGGUGUCUGGGUGCCCGGUACGUAGGCACGCACAUCCUGGCGACCACCGGCCUCCGGGCAGGCCUCCUCGUCGCUUGAUUCCUGGCAGCAGUGCUGUUCUGGGUUUAGAUAGACCACGGUGACGUCGAGGAUGCCACUGGGUGCCGUCACUGUGGGAGACGUGGGGAGAGAGGUGAGGCGCUGAGCACUGAGUGCCCCCUGUCCAGUCAGGACCCCCAGGGGCCCGUGUCUGGAGCUCGCUGCACAGCCCCCCGUACCGCUCUCCUUUGGGCAGGAGGUGGAGGGGUCUCUCACGGUGACGUGGGGGACGGUAGGAAGUGACAAUAAACUGAUCAUCAAGAAUUUACUUAAUCCCCAGUGGACACAAGAGCAAGCAACCGGAGAGUCAGCAGAAACGGCCAGACCUAGGGUUC
rnacentral:lncRNA from 1 species